rfam:Trichobilharzia regenti genome assembly, scaffold: TRE_scaffold0003973
GUACUUUUGAAGAGUCCCAAACUAGGACGAAACAGCUUUCCAGUAC